rnacentral:rRNA from 1 species
UAAGUGACUAAGCGUACACGGUGGAUGCCUUGGCAGUCAGAGGCGAUGAAAGACGUAGUAACUUGCGAUAAGCCCAGAUUAGGUAGUAACAACCAUUUGAGUCUGGGAUUUCUGAAUGGGGAAACCCACUUACAUAAGUAAGUAUCAUUAAUUGAAUACAUAGGUUAAUGAGGCGAACCGGGGGAACUGAAACAUCUAAGUACCCCGAGGAAAAGAAAUCAACCGAGAUUCCGAAAGUAGCGGCGAGCGAAAUUGGACUAGCCCUUAAGCUUUACACGCGUUAGACGAACGGUCUGGAAAGUCCGACGAUACAGGGUGAUAGUCCCGUAGUUGACGACGUGUGUUCAGUGAAAUCGAGUAGGGCGGGACACGUGAUAUCCUGUCUGAAUAUGGGGGGACCAUCCUCCAAGGCUAAAUACUACUGACUGACCGAUAGUGAACCAGUACCGUGAGGGAAAGGCGAAAAGAACCCCUGUGAGGGGAGUGAAAUAGAACCUGAAACCGUGUACGUACAAGCAGUAGGAGCAGGCUUUGUCCUGUGACUGCGUACCUUUUGUAUAAUGGGUCAGCGACUUAUAUUCAGUGGCAAGGUUAACCAUCUAGGGGAGCCGUAGGGAAACCGAGUCUUAACUGGGCGUUCAGUCUCUGGAUAUAGACCCGAAACCAGGUGAUCUAGCCAUGGGCAGGUUGAAGGUUGAGUAACAUCAACUGGAGGACCGAACCGACUAAUGUUGAAAAAUUAGCGGAUGACUUGUGGCUAGGGGUGAAAGGCCAAUCAAACCUGGAGAUAGCUGGUUCUCCCCGAAAGCUAUUUAGGUAGCGCCUCGGACGAAUACUACUGGGGGUAGAGCACUGUUAAGGCUAGGGGGUCAUCCCGACUUACCAACCCUUUGCAAACUCCGAAUACCAGUAAGUACUAUCCGGGAGACACACGGCGGGUGCUAACGUCCGUCGUGGAGAGGGAAACAACCCAGACCGCCAGCUAAGGUCCCAAAUUACUACUAAGUGGGAAACGAUGUGGGAAGGCUCAGACAGCCAGGAUGUUGGCUUAGAAGCAGCCAUCAUUUAAAGAAAGCGUAAUAGCUCACUGGUCGAGUCGGCCUGCGCGGAAGAUGUAACGGGGCUAAGUAGUAAACCGAAGCUGCGGCAAUGUGCUUUUGCACAUUGGGUAGGGGAGCGUUCUGUAAGCGGUUGAAGGUGUGUGGUAACGCAUGCUGGACGUAUCAGAAGUGCGAAUGCUGACAUGAGUAACGAUAAAGGGGGUGAAAAACCUCCUCGCCGGAAGACCAAGGGUUCCUGUCCAACGUUAAUCGGGGCAGGGUAAGUCGACCCCUAAGGCGAGGCCGAAAGGCGUAGUCGAUGGGAAACGGGUUAAUAUUCCCGUACUUCUUACAAUUGCGAUGGGGGGACGGAGAAGGCUAGGUGGGCCUGGCGACGGUUGUCCAGGUUCAAGUGCGUAGGCUUAAGAGUUAGGUAAAUCCGGCUCUUUUUAAGGCUGAGACACGACGUCGAGCACCUACGGGUGUGAAGUCAUUGAUGCCAUGCUUCCAGGAAAAGCCUCUAAGCUUCAGAUUGUAAGGAAUCGUACCCCAAACCGACACAGGUGGUCGGGUAGAGAAUACCAAGGCGCUUGAGAGAACUCGGGUGAAGGAACUAGGCAAAAUGGUACCGUAACUUCGGGAGAAGGUACGCUCUCGACGGUGAAGUCCCUUGCGGAUGGAGCUAUUGAGAGUCGCAGAUACCAGGUGGCUGCAACUGUUUAUUAAAAACACAGCACUGUGCAAAAUCGUAAGAUGACGUAUACGGUGUGACGCCUGCCCGGUGCCGGAAGGUUAAUUGAUGGGGUUAGACUUCGGUCGAAGCUCUUGAUCGAAGCCCCGGUAAACGGCGGCCGUAACUAUAACGGUCCUAAGGUAGCGAAAUUCCUUGUCGGGUAAGUUCCGACCUGCACGAAUGGCGUAAUGAUGGCCACGCUGUCUCCACCCGAGACUCAGUGAAAUUGAAAUCGCUGUGAAGAUGCAGUGUACCCGCGGCUAGACGGAAAGACCCCGUGAACCUUUACUACAGCUUGGCACUGAACAUUGACCCUACAUGUGUAGGAUAGGUGGGAGGCUUUGAAGCACGUACGCCAGUAUGUGUGGAGCCGUCCUUGAAAUACCACCCUUGUAGUGUUGAUGUUCUAACGUUGACCCCUUAUCGGGGUUGCGGACAGUGCCUGGUGGGUAGUUUGACUGGGGCGGUCUCCUCCCAAAGAGUAACGGAGGAGCACGAAGGUGGGCUAAUCACGGUUGGACAUCGUGAGGUUAGUGCAAUGGCAUAAGCCCGCUUGACUGCGAGAAUGACAAUUCGAGCAGGUGCGAAAGCAGGUCAUAGUGAUCCGGUGGUUCUGAAUGGAAGGGCCAUCGCUCAACGGAUAAAAGGUACUCCGGGGAUAACAGGCUGAUACCGCCCAAGAGUUCAUAUCGACGGCGGUGUUUGGCACCUCGAUGUCGGCUCAUCACAUCCUGGGGCUGAAGUCGGUCCCAAGGGUAUGGCUGUUCGCCAUUUAAAGUGGUACGCGAGCUGGGUUUAGAACGUCGUGAGACAGUUCGGUCCCUAUCUGCCGUGGGCGUUGGAAGAUUGAAGGGGGCUGCUCCUAGUACGAGAGGACCGGAGUGGACGAACCUCUGGUGUUCGGGUUGUGUCGCCAGACGCAUUGCCCGGUAGCUAAGUUCGGAAUCGAUAACCGCUGAAAGCAUCUAAGCGGGAAGCGAGCCCUGAGAUGAGUCUUCCCUGAUACUUUAAGUAUCCUAAAGGGUUGUCGGAGACUACGACGUUGAUAGGUCAGGUGUGUAAGUGCUGUGAGGCAUUGAGCUAACUGAUACUAAUUGCCCGUGAGGCUUAACCA